GUUGAACGCUGGCGGAAUGCUUAACACAUGCAAGUCGAACGGUAACACGCCGCGAGGUGCUGACGAGUGAGUAACGGGUGAGUAAUGCGCCGGACAGUGCCCGGCCGCAGGGGAAAACUACUCCUAAGAGUAGCUAAUAUCGCAAUAGGUCUUCGGAUGAAUAUGAGAGCCAGAAACGCUGCGAGAGAUCGUUGCGGCCGAUGACCGAUUAGGUAGUUGGUGGGCUAAAUGAGGACCAGGCCAACGGCCUGCAGCUGGUCUGAGAGGACGACCAGCCACACUGGGAGGGAGACACGGCCCAGAGUGCUACGGGAGGCACCAGUGGGGAAUUUUGGACAAUGGGCGCAAGCCUUAUCCAGCAAUGCCGCGUGCAGGAAGAAGGCCUUCGGGUUGUAAACUGCUUUUGUACGGAACGAAACGGCUCUGGUUAAUACCCGGAGCUAAUGACGGUACCGUAAGAAGAAGCACCGGCUAACUACGUG
rnacentral:rRNA from 1 species